GUACGGAAGGCAGCAGUGGGGAAUCUUGCGCAAUGGGCGAAAGCCUGACGCAGCCAUGCCGCGUGAAUGAUGAAGGUCUUAGGAUAGUAAAAUUCUUUCACCGGGGACGAUAAUGACGGUACCCGGAGAAGAAGCCCCGGCUAACUUCGUGCCAGCAGCCGCGGUAAUACGAAGGGGGCUAGCGUUGCUCGGAAUUACUGGGCGUAAAGGGAGCGUAGGCGGAUCGUUAAGUUAGAGGUGAAAGCCCAGGGCUCAACCUUGGAACUGCCUUUGAUACUGGCGAUCUUGAGUAUGGAAGAGGUAAGUGGAACUCCGAGUGUAGAGGUGAAAUUCGUAGAUAUUCGGAAGAACACCGGUGGCGAAGGCGACUUACUGGUCCAUGACUGACGCUGAGGCUCGAAAGCGUGGGGAGCAAACAGGAUUAGAUACCCCGGUAGUCC
rnacentral:rRNA from 1 species